GACGAACGCUGGCGGCGUGCCUAAUACAUGCAAGUAGAACGCAGUUGCGAACGGGUGAGUAACGCGUAGGUCACUGCCUGGUAGCGGGGGCUAACACUUGGAAACGAUAGCUAAUACCGCAUCCUACCAGAUGGACCUGCGUUGUAUUAGCUAGUUGGUGGGGUAACGGCUCACCAAGGCAACGAUACAUAGCCGACCUGGGGAGGUUGUCGGGCAAACUGGGACUGGGACACGGCCCAGAAUCCCACGGGGGGCAACAGGAGGGAAUCUUCGGCAAAGGGGGGAACGCUGACCGAGCAAAGCCGCGGGAGUGAAGAAGGUUUUCGGAUCGUAAAGCUCUGUUGUUAAGGAAGCGGUACUUAACCAGAAAGGGACGGCUAACUACGUGCCAGCCGCCGCGGUAAUUC
rnacentral:rRNA from 1 species